GAUGAACGCUGGCGGCGUGCCUAAUACAUGCAAGUCGAACGAUGAAGCUAGAGCUUGCUCUGGUGGAUUAGUGGCGAACGGGUGAGUAACACGUGAGUAACCUGCCCCGAACUCUGGGAUAACUGCUGGAAACGGUAGCUAAUACCGGAUAUGACCAAUGAAGGCAUCUUCUGUUGGUGGAAAGAAUUUCGGUUCGGGAUGGACUCGCGGCCUAUCAGCUUGUUGGUGAGGUAACGGCUCACCAAGGCGACGACGGGUAGCCGGCCUGAGAGGGUGAUCGGCCACACUGGGACUGAGACACGGCCCAGACUCCUACGGGAGGCAGCAGUGGGGAAUAUUGCACAAUGGGCGCAAGCCUGAUGCAGCAACGCCGCGUGAGGGACGACGGCCUUCGGGUUGUAAACCUCUUUUAGUAGGGAAGAAGCGAAAGUGACGGUACCUGCAGAAAAAGCACCGGCUAACUACGUGCCAGCCGCCGCGGUAA
rnacentral:rRNA from 1 species